rnacentral:rRNA from 1 species
UACAGAGACCUCAAGCGUUAUCCGGAAUCAUUGGGCGUAAAGCGUACCGAUCGGUGGUUUACAAAGUCAGAGGUGAAAUCUCAAGGCUCAACCUUGAGUCUGUCCUUUGAUACUUGUAAACUAGAAGGGCAAAGAGGAAGCCGGAACAAACGGUGUAGUAGUGAAAUGCGUUGAUAUCGUUUGGAACACCAAUAGCGAAGGCAGGCUUCUGGGUGCCUCUUGACACUGCUAGGACGAAAGCGUGGGGAGCGAAUGGG